UGUUCGCCGAUUAAAGUGGCACGCGAGCUGGGUUCAGAACGUCGCGAGACAGUUCGGUCCCUAUCUGUUAUGGGCGUUAGAAGUUUGACGGGAGCUGACUCUAGUACGAGAGGACCGAGUCGGACGUACCUCUAGUGUACCUGUUGUGGCGCCAGCUGCACCGCAGGGUAGCUAUGUACGGAAGAGAUAAGUGCUGAAAGCAUCUAAGUACGAAACUCGCCUGAAGAUGAGACUUCUUUCAAGGGUCGUCAAAGACGAUGACGUUGAUAGGCUGCAGAUGUAAAGUCAGUAAUGGCAAAGUCGAGCAGUACUAAUAACCCGUAGACUUUUUAAC
rnacentral:rRNA from 1 species